rnacentral:lncRNA from 1 species
AUAUAUAUAGUGACUGCCUCUAAUCUAUAAAUAUUGAAGGAUGUUAAUCUUUUUGGUCACAUAUUUAUAUUGUUGCUUUUUUUAUUUGAUAUUAGAGUAUAUGAUCUAUGUAAUCUCUACUUUUUAAAUGUACAGCUUUCAAGCAAAUGUAUGAUUUUUUCAUAAAUGGACAUAAGAUUGAUUAUAUAUAUAUGUACGUGUGUGUGCAGAGAUUAUAUAUAUACAUACAUGCAUAUAUUCGUGUAUACAUUUGCAUAUUAUAAUUUAUCUACUGUUAUUCACUUUCUCACCUUCCUUGCCUGAUUUUGACCUUUAAUCUUGAAAUAAUUUUAUUAACUAUAUACUAUAGUUUGCUUUUUCUCACCUCUCCUUACAUUUUCAAUAUAAUUUCUUUCCAAAUAUUUAGGAUGUAUAUUGUGUUAUAAUUGCUAUAUCAACAUGAAUUGUGCCUAUUAUGAUUGUAAAAGUCCCUCUUUACACUGCUUUUUACUUUUGAGCUUAUAUCUAAGAUUUUCUGAUGAAAUAUUGACAUUUUUGCCUUUCUUAAUUUUGCAUUUGCCUGGUAUCUCUUGGCUUUUCCCUUUAUUUUCAACCGUUCUUUAUCACUUGGUCUGAAGCAAGUUUCUUGUAACAGCACAUUGCUCGAUUUUGUUUUUUUAACCUAAUUUGACAGCUUUUGUCUUUUUAUAGAAUAUUCAGUAAGAGGAUUCAGUUUUCAGAAUGAACUAGAGCACAGAAGGGGGACUGCCUCUGCAUAUUUAAGUAGAUUGUAUUCCAAAGAUAUGAACAUUGUUGAGGCAGGAGAACUAACUAGCUUCUUACAUAGAAAGGUGUUUCUAUAGGGAAUGCUCCACAGAAUUCCAAUUAAUUGUUUCACAGAUUAAGAGAGUCACCAGGGUUCCCUUGUAACAUUUCUCAUCAAAGAGUGUUCUAUAGGGAAGAGAUAAAACCUAAACAGUCCCGGAAGCUGAGACAAGAAACUGAAAAAAAAAGGAAAGUGAGCAACAAGAUAAUGUAAGUCACAACUGAGCCAAUUAAGGAGCAGGAGAUGCAGCAGCAUGUCCCAAACAAAACUGAUUGGAGGUCAAGUGUGGACAACCAGAGCAAGUUCUUGCACAGCUAAUGUAUCCCCAGGUGUGAACUGAGUAACAUGAAGAAAGGCAUCCUCCUGCCACCUCCUGAAUCAGUAGAAAAAGACAAAAGCUUUUGAUGGGAUUAUGCUGGAGUCCAUGUCAUGGAACCAAACUGGAAAUUUUCUGGCAUGAUUUUAGGCGUUUUGCAUGAACUCUAAUUCAUUGAAAUGUAACAACCUUAUAAGGUCCCUGCAGGACCAUGUCACCCAAAAUAAUGCAUCAGAUAUAAGGACUUGUCUUUUACUCAUUUACUUCUUGGACCUACUUAGAAAACUGUGGCAGCACUGUUUUGUUAUUAUUGUCUUAAGUGCAUGAUCCAACUUGGAAAGGUUCCAGGUGUGUCUUAGUUUUGAAGCUUCACAGCAGCUGAGUAGUAGUGUGUGGUGAGCAUAACAAAUACCUAAAACUUUCAGGAAGGUGAAUCCUUCUCUCUGACCGUGGGAACUAUGGUCUGAAGAUGAAUGCCAAUCGCAAGAUAAUUCAAAUAUUGAAAUUAUGAAACAAUGACUUCCAAAUCAGCUAUGAUAAUGUGAUCUACAAGCUAAGGUCUAAUAUCCUCAAAACAAAUGGAAAGACAGAACAUCUUAGCAGGGAAAUAAAAGAUUCAACUGGCUCAUGGUUUGUACCGGGGGAACCAAGCCCAUGGUUGGGAUCCAGGGGUCCCUCCAGUCUCCUGUUCCAUGGUCGCACACACCUUGAGGGCACCCACACGGUUUGAUCGUCUCCUUAUAUUGCUGCUGGCAGACUCGUGACGGGGUUUCUCAUUCAUCUGAAGAGAAAGUCAGAGAGAAUCAAAGCAUGUGAAGAGAGACCUCACGCAAGGAGGUCUAGGAGCCUAGAGUGAUCUUCAGCCAACAGUCAAAAAGAUAACUGGGACAACCACAAGGAACUGACUUCUAUAAGAGAAAUGAGCCUGGAAAAGGACUCCAAGCUUCAGAUGAAAAUGUAGUUGGCUGACACUUUGAUUUUAGUCUUGUGAAACCCUAAGCAGAGAAUCCAAGUAAGUCCCCCUGAACUUCUCACCUAAAGAACAAUGAGUUAAUAAAUAAGGGGUAUGAUAAGUCAUGAAAUAUGUGGUAAUUUAUUACAAAACAAUAUAUAAUGAUACAGAUACCUAUCUGGUAGCCAGAUAUUAUCCUAAGUAUUUUCCACAAGACAUUUAAUUUGAUUUAAUUAACACGCAACUCCAUAAGAGACAGAUCCUUUUAACUAUUUUGCAGGUGGUAAACUGAGGCUCAAGUAAUUUAUGUGAUUUGUCUAAGGUCCCAUAGGCUAUAAGUGUCAGAGCCCAGAUUGAGAAGUGUUUGGCUGUUCAUGCAAGUGCAAGCAGCUUUCAUUAAACUAUUCGCAGAAGUCUGUCAGAAUAGCUAGCAAGGAUACCAACUAUCUAGGGAAAGUCACACCAAAGGAGUGACCCAAAGAAACACAUUUUAACCUGAACUGCCUGGUAAUACACUGAAGGCAAAUCAGCCCCAAAGACUAAAAUUGUUAAUUUUCUGUGAUUCCUCGCUGUUUUAUUUAAUAUAAUAUGACCUUAACCUAGUCUUGAUAUUUGAUUUCUGAACAAUGAGUCAAGAGAGUUGCCUUCUCUAUGUAGUAGUACUUUACUGUUGUCAAAGACUUGUCCUUUGGUGCUUCAUAUUUUGCUUUACCUACAUGGAACAUUGCUAAUUUAGGUGAUAGCCUAACUAUUUAUAGUUAAAUACACCCACCAAGUUCCCUUUACCCUUCAAAUUAACUAAAAAGAAACAACUUCCUACUUCUUACACCACAUAAAAUUCAUAUUUUGCUUUAAAUGUAAUUUUUCAGCAAAGAGCCUAGUGGAGUUCACUUAAAACUAACCAAAUCAGCUGUUAAAAUUGUCCAUUUGAUCACAUGGGUUAUAGGCAUAGUUAUUUGACUGAGUUAUGACAAUGCUCAGAAACAGAAAAGACAGUCAAAGGUUAUCAUGUAAGUUCAAUAAAAAUUCAACAGUUGUUUUUAAAGAUUUUCAUAUGAUAAUAUUGUUUCACUUUCUAUUACCCAUAUUUGAUUUCAUUUACAAAUAAAAUACUACCCACUCUAUGAAUCAUGCUUUUAUCUCAAAUAUAUCUAGAGUGAAUCUCUAUGAUUUUUAGAAUACAGAAAUAUACAUUUUAAAAAGAUUUUAACAUUUAUUGUAAAUAAUUUAAGACAACUUUUAGAUAUAUCACGUGAGUGUUUAACUCAAUUUUCAUGACCCAGCUGGCCCAAAUUAGUCUUUUUUAUAAAUUGUUUUUUGAGUUGAAAUUAUUCUUUCACACCUAAAGAACUCUAUCUGAUGCUCUAGAGAGAAAUAUUCAAUUGAACUUCACAAUGUAGAACAUUUCCUGCAUUCUCCAUUGUAGACUGUGAUGAAUAAAUCAAUAUGUGCUUACUAAAAACAAAUGAUACAAUUUAAGGAAAUAUAUUAUUUUGAGUCCUGAUUCAAAGAAAAUAACCAAAUAUUUAAAAUUUAUUUAAAAUUUGUACUGUUUAUUUAUAUAAUUAUAACAUCUUCAAAAUCAAUAAUGAUUUUCUUCAUUUAGUAUUUAAACAUAACUAUUUUCUCAUAGUACUAGAGUCGCCAUAAGCAUCACUCUAUGGCUAUAUAAUUUCUGACAUGUGCUUUUAUUGGAAUUCAUUAAUAAUUUCAUUAUUUUUAGGUAUUUAGAUCAUGGCCCACUUUCCCCUACAACCACGAUACCUGUUUAAAUUGACAAAUCAUAGUUGUAUGGAUUUACGGGGCAAAAUGUGAUGUUUUGAUAUACGUAUAUGAUACAGUUUGAUUAAAUCAAGCUGCUUUAACAUAUCCAUCAUCCUGCUUACCUAUCAUUUUUAAUAAUGAGAUAUUUGAAAUGUAUUCUCUUAGUUAUUUUCAAAUACAUAAUACAUUAUUAUUGACUGUAGUCAUCCUGGUGUGCAAUGAAUCUCAAGAUGAAUAUUUCCAUGAACAUUAAAAAAAAUUCUUCCAUUUUGAAAUGUCACUUUUCAUUAAUUGUGACUCUGAUACUUCUCCGCUUGACAUCUCCACUUAUGCAAUAAAAAAAUUCAUUGUACACUUUAUCUUCUAGGGACUUGACACGUGCAAGCCCUUCACUUUCAUUUUUUUCUAAGCCAGCUUUCUCCAUCCCCUCAUAUCAAUGCCUCAGCAUCCAGUGAUUAAAUCCCAGCAUUUCUAUCACAGUUUAUCUCCAUCACAAUAUUUCCUGUUUUGCAGUAUAACUGGUGAUUAACUUUAAUUACAAUCAUGACUACUCUAUAGCAGAGGCCAAAAUGAUGAUUACACAUCAUGUUUCAUAAUAUUUUUCAGUUAGAUGAAGCUUCAGUGCAGCUACCCUGCUAAAAUAACUAAUUUGCAUAUCAUUAUAUAGAGUUCAAAUGAACUUAUUUUAUCCACUCCCACCCAUUAGUCAUCUUAUUGCAGUUUAGAAAAUAUAUUGACUCUGGACCAUGAGUCUGUAGGUGAAGGUAACAGUUAUAAUGAUGAAAAAAAAUUUUCUCAGGUCAUUCUGUAUUUUUCCUGAUUUAAUUGAUUAUAUCACUCAUAGGCCAUCAAGGCACCACUAGAAACUUUUCUAUUAAACAUAGUACUGGAAGUUCCAGCCAGGGCAAUCAGUCAAGAGAAAGAAAUAAAGGGUAUUCAAAUAGG